rnacentral:rRNA from 1 species
GACGAACGCUGGCGGCGUGCUUAACACAUGCAAGUCGAACGGAAAGGCCCUGCUUUUGUUAGUUUCUCGAGUGGCGAACGGGUGUGUAACACGUGUGUAACCUGCCCUUGACUUUGGGAUAACUUCAGGAAACUGGGGCUAUUACCGGAUAUGAGCUCCUGCUGCAUGUUGUGGGUUGGAAAGUUUCGGCGGUUGUGGAUGGACUCGCGGCUUAUCCGCUUGUUGGUGGGGUAGUGGCUUACCAAGGCUGUGACGGAUAGCCGGCCUGAGAGGGUGACCGGCCACAAUGGGACUGAGAUACGGCCCAGAAUGCUACGGGAGGCAGCAGGGGAGAAUAUGGCACAGUGGGCGGAAGCCUGAUACAGCAACGCCGCGUGCGGGAUGACGGCCUUCGGGUUGUAAACCGCUUUCGACUGUGACGAAGAGGGAGUGACGGUAAUGGGUAAAGAAGCACCGGCUAACUACGUG